CUCUUUGUCUCUUCCUGCCAUGUGAGGGUACAGUGAGAAGAUGCCCAUCUAUGUACCAAGAUCAGGCCCUACCCAAACCAUGAAUCAGUUGUUACCUCCAUCUUGGACUUCCUAGCCCCAGAACUGUGACAAAUAAGUAUUUGUCAUUUGAGCCACCCAGUCAAAGGACACAGUUGGAAAUAUUGGUUAUCUUACCAAAGCAUUGACUGGAAUGUCAUAUUUGAGAGAAACAGGCAUAGACUCAGAUAUGACCAGACAACUUUGAGAAACAAGGAUUGGACUUUAUGGAAUAAAGCCACUUGGCAAUAUUGGCCUGGUACCUUGUUUCCUAGCAACCCUGGGUAAGUAAAGAAAGUCACUUAUCUGGCAGGUGCCUGGAACCUUGAAAUAUUUUGGGGAAACCCAAGAAAAGAGAGGAAUUCACCCAAAUCUAAGAUAUUGCAGAUGAAGCCAGAUGACAAAUUCUUGACUUGGCUUUCCUGUCCUUGAGAGGCCUUUAAAGUUCAAUCUGAGAUUCCUUAUAAAAAGUUCCAGCAAAUCAGAUUUAAAAGAACCUAUAUGAUCAGGGCUGGCCCUGUGGCCGAGUGAUUAAGUUCAUGCGCUCCGCUGCAGGCGGCCCAGUGUUUCAUUGGUUCGAAUCCUGGGCGCGGACAUGGCACUGCUCAUCAGACCACGCUGAGGCAGCACCCCACAUGCCACAACUAGAAGGACCCACAACGAAGAAUAUACAACUAUGUACCGGGGGGCUUUGGGGAGAAAAAGGAAAAAUAGAAUCUUUAAAAAAAAAAAAAAGAACCUAUAUGAUCAAUGGCUAUUCUUGCUGUACUUAUGUAAAUAAUUAGGCAAAGUUUAUCAAAGGUAAACUUAUUUUCCAAACCAAUUAGUCUUAAUUUGGCUAUCUUUUGUAAAAAUGAGGGUGAUUUCAGAGAGAAAAAUUAGGUUUCAGUAAAAAGCUAUAAUACACAUUUGUGGAUAUUAGAUCCUAGUUCUGUUAAUUGUCUUUGAGGUUUUUUUCUACCUGUGAACUGGACUGGAUCCUGAAUUCUUCUAGUCUCCUGAAAUAUCUGGCUACAAAUCCCCAAAAUAAUGUUUUCAAUUUUUUCCAUCAUUUUCAUUUGGAAUCACUGAGAACUGAACCUGGCC
rnacentral:lncRNA from 1 species